GAGAGCCGUAACACAGGUGCUGCAUGGCUGUCGUCAGCUCGUGUCGUGAGAUGUUGGGUUAAGUCCCGCAACGAGCGCAACCCUUGUCAUUAGUUGCUACAUUCAGUUGGGCACUCUAAUGAGACUGCCGGUGACAAGCGGAGGAAGGUGGGGAUGACGUCAAGUCCUCAUGGCCCUUAUAGUGGGGCUACACACGUCAUACAAUGGCUGGUACAAAGGGUUGCCAACCCGCGAGGGGGAGCCAAUCCCAUAAAGCCAGUCGUAGUCCGGAUCGUAGUCUGCAACUCGACUACGUGAAGUCGGAAUCGCUAGUAAUCGUGGAUCAGAAUGUCACGGUGAAUACGUUCCCGGGUCUU
rnacentral:rRNA from 1 species